rnacentral:lncRNA from 1 species
AUUAACUCCCCGGCACCAUUUAGAAAUCGUUGUGCCAUGUAAUUUUUGUGUUUAAGAAGUAUCUUAAGUACAACAGUUAAAAGCCUGACCUCUGGAAGUGGAUUUCCUCUGCGUGUCUCCGUUUCCUCACCUGCAAUAUGAAGAUAACAAUGGAGGUGAAGCGGGGGCCCUGGAAACCAGUCAAGAUCCCCAGAGAUAAACCCUGGGGCAGCAAGAAGGCUGUCAAUGAAAAGUGGCCUGACCUUUCGCCUCGUGAGUCACAGAAUUCCCACAAAUGCUGUGUCCCCACCAGCUCUGGCAGAACUCACCGCCACAGUCCAGACUUCGAAGCCACUUUGUAAACAGAGAGGAGGGUGUGUUGUACCAAGUCAGAGCACUGGUACCCGGAGCACCUCAAAACACAGGGUGUGUGCUCUCUUACCCUUCUUCCCAGGUUCAAAAAGUCAUAGAACCCUUAAACAGUUUGCCUCUGCAAAUGCGGUCUACAGCCAUCUAAGUGCCUUUAAAUGGAUCUGAAUGUAGCGUUCCACAUCUGAACCAAGAGCCUUUGGGAGGACUGUGCUAAAGCAGUGAAUCUCAAGGGAAGGGGGGGCAAGGGUGCAGGGGCAGGGGCGUGGGCGUGGGUAGGGAUGAGACCAAAAGAAAGAGAUGCUAUGCUUUCAGUGUGGUUUGUCUACCCCAAGACUCACACUGGAGUUUAAUCUCUCUUGUGGGGCACUCAAUCAGAUGAAGUCUUUGGGAGGUGAUGGGGGUAAGAUAAGGUCACCAGGGUGGAGCCCCUUGAUUUAAUACCGUGGCUGUAAAAGAACAGGAAGAAACCAGAAUACACGCACGCACAUGCUCUCUGUCCCUUGUCGUGUGAUACCGUGCGUCACCAGGUUGCCAUCAGCAAGGCUAUCACCAGAUGCAGCCCCAUGACCUUUGACCAGAACCAUGAGCCAAAAGAAACUUCUAGUAAUUAGUAUGUGUCUUCCCUAGUCG